UACCCCGUAGUGUAAUGGUAACACUACUGAUUUUGAUUCAGUCAUUCAAGGUUCGAGUCCUUGCGGGGUAGCCA
rnacentral:tRNA from 1 species